rnacentral:rRNA from 1 species
UUAGAUACUGGUAUGAACGAUAAUAUAUUUAAYUAUUUYUUUAAWUUUUAAAAAAAUAAUUUAGGGUUUAAGUUAAAACACUUAAAUUUUUAAAAAAGACGAUAAGACCCUAAAAGCUUUAUUUUUAYUMAAAGUUUAAYUUAAAUUAACUUUUAGAAAAAAAUUUUACUGGGGUAGUAAAAAAUUAGUUUUUUUUUUKUAAAACAUAGAGGUUUWAAAUUCCUUAAUAUYAGGAUUGYAGRUAAGUUACUUUAGGGAUAACAGCGUAAUAGUGUUGAAAARAACAUAUUUAUAAUACUGAUUACRACCUCGAUGUUGAAUUAAUUAAUCUUUUUAAAGCA